rnacentral:lncRNA from 1 species
UUUAUGCUUUUAGAAGUAUAGCAGCAUUUGUAGUAUUAAGUUAUUUUUUAUGCUAGAACUUUCGAAUCGAUAAUUAGCUCUAUUAAAUUUGAUAUGAAAUAUUUGAAGUAAUUAGAAAAUACAUUUCGUGAUUUCGUGAAUUUUUUUUUGGGAAAACUUCAAAAACCCCCCCUGUGGUUUCAUGCAUUCUCACUUUGCUACCCUGUGGUUUAAAACGUAUCAAUUUGCCCCCCUGUGGUUUCGUUUUUAUCUUUUUGUUAUCAAUUUUAUUAUUAUUUUUUUUUAAAAUCAGUGACAAAGUUAAAAUUAAAGGAUACUAAAGUGACUAUUUGAUAAAUAUAGAUGGUUAUCUGAAGUUUUUUGUAUAUAAUUUAACAAAAUAUUAACGAAAAAGCUUCCGAAAAGAUAAAAAUGAAACCACAGGAGGGUAAAUUGAUAUGUUUUAAACCACAGGGUAGCAAAGUGAGAAUGCACGAAACCACAGGGGGGGUUUUUGAAGUUUUCCCUUUUUUUUUAUACCAAAUACCUAGUGACCGACGGAGCCUAAAAUUAGUAAUUUGAUAAUCAUGGUAAACCAUUUGCAGAUUUAAUGGUCUAAAAAUAUUCAAAUCACGUAUUUUAUAAAUUAUAUCGAAAAUUAAUUUAUGAGAUUUAUUUUCUAAAUAUUUUUACUACUCUAGAUUAAGCCAAAUGGAAUCGAUCGUCAAUCCGAAAAUUCUAACAUAAAAAACGACUUGAUAGUACGAAAACUAAAGUGCUUUCAGAAGUACGUAUACAAGCCGAUGGCUAUAUAGAUAGUUAUAUAUUG